GCUCUCGUGGCUCAGUGGUAGAGCACCGCCUUGGUAAGGCGGAGAUCGGCGGUUCGAGUCCGCUCGGGAGCU
rnacentral:tRNA from 1 species